AUUGAACGCUGGCGGAAUGCUUUACACAUGCAAGUCGAGCGGCAGCGCGGGGGCAACCCUGGCGGCGAGCGGCGAACGGGUGAGUAACAUAUCGGAACGUACUCUGUCGUGGGGGAUAACUAUCCGAAAGGAUAGCUAAUACCGCAUACGACCUGAGGGUGAAAGCGGGGGAUCGCAAGACCUCGCGCGAUAGGAGCGGCCGAUAUCGGAUUAGCUAGUUGGUGGGGUAAAGGCUCACCAAGGCGACGAUUCGUAGCUGGUCUGAGAGGACGACCAGCCACACUGGAACUGAGACACGGUCCAGACUCCUACGGGAGGCAGCAGUGGGGAAUUUUGGACAAUGGGGGCAACCCUGAUCCAGCCAUUCCGCGUGAGUGAAGAAGGCC
rnacentral:rRNA from 1 species